AGUCAUCUAAAUUAGUGGAAGCUGAAACGCAAGGAUUGAUAAUGUAAUAGGAUCAAUGAAUAUUAACAUAUAAAAUGAUGAUAAUAAUAUUUAUAGAAUUGUGUA
rnacentral:tRNA from 1 species